AUGUUUCCUCUUCUUCUUUUGCAUCUUGCUGAUAGGGGCUAAGGGGAUGGGGAGAGGGGUUGGGAUGGGCUCCUGGCUGUUCUUUGCUGAUGGGGCAAAGGGGAUGUAGUCUUGUGGGGUGGAGGUAGAGGCCAAAUCUUGUGUUUGUUCAGAUCUGAUGACAGUGAAUGGAUGUGAUGUGAGAUUUAGUGGCUGAUUAGUUCGUGAUGCAGUGCAUAUUCUGAAAAUAGAGAAUAAUAAAAUUGUAGAAUGUAGAUGCACAUGAUUUUUGCUUAGUGAUGUUUGUAGCGGGAUUUAGUAUUUUAAAAUUCGCUUCUUCAGUGGUGAUUCUAAUGACAGAUUUUGUCUGCAUUGGUUCCACAAGAAUCUUUUUUUCCUAGAGGAUGCUUGCUUAUGCUUCAGCUCAUGUCUUUCUGUAAUCAAAUACCAUAUUUUUGCCCUAGGCCUUUGUGUAUGUAUCUCAGUAAUUGAAGUCUUGCAUCUUUGGCCUGUAGGGCUGGGUGUAUGUAUAUCAGUAUUAAAGUUAUGCUUCUAAGCUUUACUACUGACUGAGCAGCUACAUCAAGAUAUGCAAGGAUCCUUACAGAUAUUUUAGACAACCUGGAACAACAUCGAUCCAAUUCUAAAGUCGAUUUGGUAUAUUAUAUUUUUCUUCUUUGUGUAGACAUCAACCAUUGGUCGUGAAGACAUCCGAGUCUCAGAGGACUGCAAUAUGAUAGGUAAGGAAAUUCUGAUAGGAUGUAAUGGAGGUCAUAUCACAAUUACUUCUGACAAUGAUGUUGCAGGAACGAUUUAAGUGUAAUCUCUUCGUCCCUUUACAUUUUUUUCCAGAUCCUUCACCUCCUGAUGCUGCAGUCAUAUGGACUUCAUUAGUUGAGCUAAGCAAUUGGCAAUUUCAUGGAAAACUAGGAAGCACACUAUAGCUAAUGGUAAAAGCUGGGGUUACAUCAUGGCUGAUGGCGAUAGUGGCAUCCAUUUUAGAGUGAUGAAGCUAUCCCAGGAUGAAAAACAGACAAUGAUUGAUGGUUAUUAAGUCCUUUUCUUUUUCCAGACUGCCGGCAAUGCUGUUCGUCUAAGCUUUUUUUCUGGUUGCACGGCCUUUUGGUUGCCCAUGCUUAUACUGGUUGAAGAUAGUGCUCAAUUUCAUCUCAGUUGUAGCUGUUUCUGAGAUUUGUAUUGUUAUUAUUUCAUAUCAGAUUGUUGUCAUAUUGAUUAAUUGAAUGAACAUGCAUGUCAAAUGCAUUUAAAUCCAUUAUUGUGUUUUA